CUCAGUAAAACUACUUCCAGCUCAUGCGUGGGGUUGGAGUGAAAGUGUCCCACUGACGAUAGAGGAGGAGAGGAUUGGUCUCUAGAAUGACCUCCUGUCUGUCACCUAACCCUCAUGGUUUAGGUGCCACAGGAGUGGAGACUUAGAAAUGUGCAACGUAUUCCCUGCUAACUGGGUGAGCCUUCUGAUGUCUUAGAUCUCAGCGUCCCGUGAAAUUGAGUGGGGAUAACUUCCACAGUCUACGGCACACCUCAGGAAAGCGCUCUCAACUAUUCCAAGUGAACAGCUAAAGGGUGUGCCAAUUCUUUUAAGGGAUUUGAAGGAUUUCCAUGUAGAACAAAAGCCAGACGAGUUGUCUGUGAUUCUGGGGCUCUCAGCAAGCAGAUAUACAUAAUGGGUGCUGUGUGAGUCUGCUAUUCCAAAGGAAGGUCUUGACACAGGAGCAGGGAAGGAUGCUUAGCACAACUUAAAAACCAUUUAAUAGCUCAAUAUGUUGGCUCUGAGCAUCUAUGUUCACUGAACGCCAUAGCCCUGUACAGAAGCCUGAUAGUUAUCACCAUGCUCUAGAUGAGGAAACAGAUUGUACAGGCUUUCAAAUGCUACCUCCCUGCUUCCUUCUAUUCAAGCGUAGAAACCAGAGCUUUAAAAAGUGACUUCUACCAAGAACGUUCAGCAGAAUGAGCCCAACAUAGAACGACAACUCACAGCGACACAAAAGGCCCAAACCAGAGGAAAUUACCCUGCACAAUUUGCAAAUCACCUCAACAGAGUCUUCUGGGCAAAAUGAAGGCUAAUUUUAAAACAUCCACAUCCUCUGGGCUCCGCCCUUCCCCCCCCACCCAGAGGUUCUUGGGGCCAUUCAAGCAAAAACCCCUCUGCUCUCAUUUGCAUUGUUCUUGGGAGGGGGAAAGUGAGCAAGCUCUGAGGUGUCACUCCCCUGAGAGGUGCAGCAGGGUCACACCUCGUUUGGCACAACCGGAUCAGGCGUGAACCUGUGCAAAGUUGGCCUACAGUCCAAAUGAGUUAAUUAGUCAGCAUUGCCCCCAGAGAAGGUAGACGAUUGACCUUUCCCAAGAAAAUGAACGUGCCCCACCCAGUGACAAGAAAUGAGGGCACCGGUCAUGCGAUAAAAACACAGGCCUGAGAGAGCUAUAGUAAGAGCUCCUGCUGUGUUGGACCCUGUGCUGUGGGGUGUGCUGGGCACCAUCAUGAUCAAGGUGCAUGACCCCUGGAGAUUUGGGGAGGCCCUGUAUGGUGAAGUGUGGCAGCUGACAGCAUUUGGGAAACAUGGAGAAUUUCCCCAGGUUUAUACAGCAGUUCACUCAUCUAUUUUAAAAUCCUGUUUAUUUAUUUAAUGUGUGUGUGUGUGUGUGAACAUCUGUGCUGCUGUGUAUGUAUGUGUGUGGAGAUCAGAGAACAACUUUUGGGAGUUAGUUCUCUCCUUCCACCAUAUGUGCCCCGAGGAUUAGACUCUUCAUCAGGCUUGGCAGCAAGUGCAUUUACCCACUGAGCCAUCUCACUGACCGAAGAGCAGUUUAUUAUAGUGAUCAUGAAUGUCCCACAUAUGACCCUGAGGUCACUGUACCAGCAUUUCCCAACGCCUUCCCUUGAGUCACUUUGGGACUUGUCUGUGGGUCUCUGUCUUAGGUCAAUCCCCAAACAUUCCUUGUCCCAGAGUCCUGGGGAUGGUCAGAUAAUCAUGACUUUUUUUUUUUUAAUCAGGAGAAUUAAAAUAAUUUUUACCUCCAGGAAAUUUCCAAAC